rnacentral:lncRNA from 1 species
CCCAGAGGUGUUGGUUAGAGCGCUCAAGUUACCUGGGUAUCAGGAAGAACUGGUAGUUGAUGUCUGUUCCUCAUCAGUAGAGUGGACACUAUAGUGGAGCUAUAGAUUGAAAGAGGAGUUUUUUUUUUAACCACAAAGUACUUUUAGAGGUGCUUUAAGAGAAAUGUAAGGUUGUAAGGUAGAUUUUGGGGGUAAAUUGCAGUGAAUGUUGCUCUUUCCAAGUUAUAGAUUAUAGCAGUAAUAGUGAGAGAGCGAGGAGAUGUCAUUGUUGUGACUGUAACUUGUUUUCCAACUUCUUGAUUAUCAGCAUCUAGGUUACAGAAUACUGCCUCACAAAAUGGAAGCAGCAGACGGUCGACGAGCAGGGAUACCUACUUUGUCAACACCACGACCAGCUGGCACAAUUGGGGACGGCUAUGGAAGAGGCUCUUCGCAGUGUUCAACAUCUCGAACAUACCCGAGAGGCGUUGCCUUCAACUAGCGGAGGAUACACUACCACCAGUCAACCUAGCACACCAGCCCAUUCAGCAAACUGUGCAGGUCAGCGAUGUCCCUCCCGGAUAAAUAUGACAGCACACCAUGUAAAUGCUGUGGCUUCCGACUACAGUACUCGCUCUACUUUUCGCACCAGAUGGGAGCUCCUACCACUGACAGGUCCAGGGUUGCCACAGUUAUUUCUCUGCUGACUGGGCGGGCAUUGGAAUGGGCCAUAGACGUCUGGGAGAGAGGAGGAACUGGAUUCGUAUGAGGGGUUCAUGGCUCGGUUCAGAGAUCUUCGAUCAUCCACUGGAGGGCAGAGAGAGGGGUGAGUGCCUACUCCAACUACGGAGGACCAGACGGCUGCCGAGUACGCGCUCACCUUCUGGACAGUAGCAGCAUCCAGCGGCUGGACUGUGCGAGAAGGUUCAGAUGGAACUGGCCUGUCGAUGACAACCUCUGCUUGAAAGCACUCAUCGCGAUGGCCAUCCACUUGGAUAACCUUCUUCGGGAGCAUCGGCACUCAUCGCUUCUCUCCCUCCCUCAGUGAAAACUUUGUAUCAGAGCCUGAACCCAUGGCGGUAGG